rnacentral:rRNA from 1 species
CGCGUAGGCGGCCGAUCAAGUCGGGUGUGAAAGCCCGGGGCUCAACCCCGGAUGUGCAUUCGAGACUGAUUGGCUUGAGGACGGGAGAGGAUGGUGGAAUUCCCAGUGUAGAGGUGAAAUUCGUAGAUAUUGGGAAGAACACCGGUGGCGAAGGCGGCCAUCUGGACCGUUUCUGACGCUGAGGCGCGAAAGCGUGGGGAGCAAACA